rnacentral:tRNA from 1 species
AGGCUCGUAGCUCAGGGGGAGAGCGCUACCUUGACACGGUAGAGGUCCCCGGUUCGAAACCGGGCGGGCCUACCA